ACUGUAGCUCAGUGGUAGAGCCUACCUGUUUAGCAUGCAGAACAUCCCAAGUUUGAUCCCUGGCAUCUCUA